CAACAACAGCAGGCGCAACAACCACAGCAGGCGCAACAACAACAGCAGCAGGCACAACCACAACAACAGCAGGCGCAACAACAACAGCAGCAGGCGCAAUCACAACAGCAGCAGGCGCAACCACAACAGCAGCAGGCGCAACCACAACAGGAGCAGGCGCAACAACAGCAGCAGGCGCAACCACAACAACAGCAGGCGUAACAACCACAGCAGGCGCAACAACAACAGCAGCAGACGCAAUCACAACAGCAGCAGGCGCAACCACAACAGCAGCAGGCGCCACCACAACAGCAGCAGGCGCAACAACAACAGCAGCCUCCGCCUCCUCCGCCGGCGGUAGGCCAACCUACCAGACACUGUCACAAGCUCUGCUCAUCAUCCUAGGAACCAUGGGUCUGACCUUGCUAUAAAGCAGCUUUAAGAAGGUCCAAAAGUGGCAAAAACCUACAUUACAUAUAUUAACUACAUCAAAAAUAUAUGAACAAUUCGUAAAAUACUUUGUAUUUUUCGAUCCUCAGUUCAUUAAUGGAAGGAUAUUGUUACUUAAAGGCCCAUGACGAUGCCUAGAAAUUAGCCUUAAAGAAGGAGCUAUUUAUUUUUCUCACAAUUUUGUCCUUUUGUUUGCCUUUGGGUGAGUCAUGAGUUUUGUGUAUAUUUCCACGCAUUCAAAACUGUGUCAUUGUAUGUGUCAUGUAUUUAUUGUGUAAGUCUCAGACCAACAGGUUAUCAGGCACUGAACCAAUAUUUGUCCCCUCUCUCUUCGUUGAAUGAUGCCACUGGAUGGCAGAAACGAUACUGGCUUGUAUGUUAAAUAAACUUGCGAUUUGUGAUUAUCUAAGCACGAAAAUUAAGAGCAGUAUUAAAUUAAGUAAAUUCUGCUCACAGAAAAAACAUGCAUUCAAACAGUGGUGGUAUGAUCCGAUUGUUAUUAGGGAUGUGAAGAAUGUGUCGACUCAACGGUCGAUUCUCGACUCGUGCU
ensembl:lncRNA